rnacentral:rRNA from 7 species
UACCCGCUGAGUUUAAGCAUAUCAAUAAGCGGAGGAA